UACGUAGGGACCAAGCGUUGUUCGGAUUUACUGGGCGUAAAGGGCGCGUAGGCGGCUUGACAAGUCACUUGUGAAAUCUCCGGGCUUAACUCAGAACGGCCAAGUGAUACUGCUGUGCUAGAGUGCAGAAGGGGCAAUCGGAAUUCUUGGUGUAGCGGUGAAAUGCGUAGAUAUCAAGAGGAACACCUGAGGUGAAGACGGGUUGCUGGGCUGACACUGACGCUGAGGCGCGAAAGCCAGGGGAGCAAACGGG
rnacentral:rRNA from 1 species